CCUACGGGUGGCAGCAGUGGGGGAUAUUGGACAAUGGGGGGAACCCUGAUCCAGCGACGCCGCGUGAGUGAAGAAGUAUUUCGGUAUGUAAAGCUCUGUCAGCAGGGAAGAAAGAGAUGACGGUACCUGACGAAGAAGCCCCGGCUAACGGCGUGCCAGCAGCCGCGGUAAUACGUAGGGGGCAAGCGUUAUCCGGAAUUACUGGGGGUAAAGGGGGCGUAGACGGUGAAGUAAGUCUGGAGUGAAAGGCCGGGGCGCAACCCCGGGACUGCUCUGGAAACUAUUGAGCUGGAGUGCAGGAGAGGUAAGCGGAAUUCCUGGUGUAGCGGUGAAAUGCGUAGAUAUUAGGAGGAACACCAGUGGCGAAGGCGGCUUACUGGACUGUAACUGACGUUGAGGCUCGAAAGCGUGGGGAGCAAACAGGAUUAGAUACCCUAGUAGUC
rnacentral:rRNA from 1 species